AACAUAAUGUGGCUCAGACCUGUAAGCCGCUGUCUCUGUCUUUGCUUCUGAAUCCACAAGAGGAGUACGGUGAGAGAGACGAACAGAAUGGCCCCAAGGAUCCCAAAUGCAACAACGGAUGAGUGACCUGGGCACAGGAGAAAAGAGGAGAGACUCAGUUCUGGGAGUAACAUAUGGAACCACUACGUCUGUUUCCUGUCUGAGGCUUUAGCCUCUCAACCAAGAAAAUUACUCCUUCCCACCCAAAACUAGAGGUGCCUAGUUUUUCGUCUCUCUGCACACAGAUACAUCAGCAACUAACACACCAUUGUAAAGCAAUUAUACUCCAAUAAAGGAGAGAACUUCAAGAUGGCGGAGGAGUAAGACAUGGAGAUCACCUUCUUCCCCACAGACACAUCAGAAAUAUAUCUACAUGUGGAACAACUCCUACAGAACACCUAUCGAAUGCAAGCAGAAGACCUCAGACUUCCCAAAAGGCAAGAAACUCCCCAUGUACCUGGGUAGGGCAAAAGAAAAAAGAAUAAACAGAGACAAAAGAAUAGGGACAGGACCUGCACCUCUGGGAGGGAGCUGUGAAGGAGGAAAGGUUUCCACACACUAGGAAGCCCCUUCACUGGUGGAGACGGGGGGUGGGCAGGGGAAGCUUCGGAGCCGCGGAGGAGAGCGCAGCAACAGGAGUGCGGAGGGCAAAGCGGCGAGAUUCCCGCACAGAGGAUCGGUGCCGACCGGCACUCACCAGCCCGAGAGGCUUGUCUGCUCACCCGCCGGGACGGGCGGGGCUGGGAGCUGAGGCUUGGGCUUCGGAAGUCAGAUUCCAGGGAGAGGACUGGGGUUGGCUGCGUGAACACAGCCUGAAGUGGGUUAAUGCGCCACAGCUAGCCGGGAGGGAGUACAGGAAAAAGUCUGGACCUUCCUAAAAGGCAGGAGACCAUUGUUUCGGGGUGCGUGAGGAGAGGGCAUUCAGAGCACCGCCUAAACAAGCUCCAGAGAUGGGUGUGAGACGCAGCUAUCAGCACAGACACCAGAGACGGGCAUGAGACGCUAAGGCUGCUGCUGCCGCCACCAAGAAGCCUGUGUGCGAGCACAGGUCACUGUCCACAUCCCCCUUCCGGGGAGCCUGUGCAGCCCGCCACUGCCAGGGUCCCGGGAUCCAGGGACAACUUGCCCAGGAGAACACACGGCGCACCUCAGGCUGGUGCAACAUCACACUGGCCUCUGCCGCCGCAGGCUUGCCCUGCAUUCCGUACCCCUCCCUCCCCCCGGCCUCAGUGAGCCAGAGCCCCCGAAUCAGCUGCUACUUUAACUCCGUCCUGUCUGAGCAAAGAACAGACGCCUUCAGGUGACCUACACGCAGAGGUGGGUCCUAAUCCAAAGCUGAACCCCAGGAGCUGUGCAAACAAAGAAGAGAAAGGAAAAUUUUCUCCCAGAAGCCUCAGGAGCAGUGGAUUAAAACUCCACAAUCAACUUGAUGUACCCUGCAUCUCUGGAAUACUUGAACAGACAAAGAAUCAUCCCAAAGUAGAGGCAGUGGACUUUGGGAGCAACUGUAGACUUGGGGUUUGCUUUCUGCAUCUAAUUUGUUUCUGGUGUUAUGUUUAUCUUAGUUUAGUAUUUAGAGUUUAUUAUCAUUGGUAGAUCUGUUUAUUGAUUUGGUUGCUCUCUUCCUUUUUCUUUGUGUAUAGAUAUACAUUGCUUUUUCCUUUUUCUCUUUUUGUGAGUGUGUAUGUGUAUGCUUCUUUGUGUGAUUUUAUCUGUAUAGCUUUACUUUUACCAUUUGUCCUAGGGUUCUGCUUUCUGUCUUUUUUGUUUGUUUUUAGUAUAGUUUUUAGUACUUGUUAUCAGUGGCGUAUUUCUUU